rnacentral:rRNA from 1 species
ACAUCCAGAGAACUUAGCAGAGAUGCUUUGGUGCCUUCGGGAACUCUGAGACAGGUGCUGCAUGGCUGUCGUCAGCUCGUGUUGUGAAAUGUUGGGUUAAGUCCCGNAACGAGCGCAACCCUUAUCCUUUGUUGCCAGCGAUUCGGUCGGGAACUCAAAGGAGACUGCCGGUGAUAAACCGGAGGAAGGUGGGGAUGACGUCAAGUCAUCAUGGCCCUUACGGCCAGGGCUACACACGUGCUACAAUGGCGCAUACAAAGAGAAGCGACCUCGCGAGAGCAAGCGGACCUCAUAAAGUGCGUCGUAGUCCGGAUUGGAGUCUGCAACUCGACUCCAUGAAGUCGGAAUCGCUAGUAAUCGUAGAUCAGAAUGCUACGGUGAAUACGUUCCCGGGCCUUGUACACACCGCCCGUCACACCAUGGGAGUGGGUUGCAAAAGAAGUAGGUAGCUUAACCUUCGGGAGGGCGCUUACCACUUUGUGAUUCAUGACUGGGGUGAAGUCGUAACAAGGUAGGCGUACUACA